rnacentral:rRNA from 1 species
ACCCAUUGUUUACCUACCCGUCCUCCGUGCUUCGGCAGGCAGUCCUGUGGGACAGGGCCUCGCCCCCUCCGGGGGGUGCCUGCCGCUGGCCAACCGAAAAUUCUAGCUGUUUUUGUAACAUCUGAGUCUUCCACAAAUAAACAAAACUUUCAACAACGGAUCUCUUGGUUCUGGCAUCGAUGAAGAACGCAGCGAAAUGCGAUAAGUAAUGUGAAUUGCAGAAUUCAGUGAAUCAUCGAAUCUUUGAACGCACAUUGCGCCCACUAGUAUUCUGGUGGGCAUGCCUGUUCGAGCGUCAUUUCAACCCUCAAGCCUGGCUUGGUGUUGGGGCUCUGCGUUUGCAGUCCCUUAAAUCCAGUGGCGGACACGCUAGGUCUCCGAGCGCAGUAUUUUUUUCUCGCUCAGGGCGUCCGGCGUGGGCUUGCCUCGCACCCAUCUUAUCAAGGUUGACCUCGGAUCAGGUAGGAAUACCCGCUGAACUUAAGCAUAUCAAUAAGCGGAGGA